rnacentral:misc_RNA from 1 species
UGCCUCUGAAACCUUUGAGAUGUGAUGCCUAUGGAACCUUAUGUGUGAAACAUACACCUUAAUUUUCCAAUCCACAGAUUCCAUUCACAGUGCCUUAACCAUACUGCAAUCAGCUCCCAUAAAUUAUUUUAAUGCCUAGCUACUCUAGGUUACAAACUCAGAUUUUGUACCUAACUGGUUUUUUAUUCAUUCUAGCUUUCUAAUAAACCCAAAAUAUACCAUCGAUGACCAGCCUUGCAAGCUGUCCUACACAUUCUCACACUCAUGAUUGUCUCUUCUGCAUGGAACUUCUCCAACAACACUA